GGGAAGGUGGCUCAGUGGUAGAGUGCUUGCUUUGCAUGCAUGAGGCCCGGGGUUCAAUUCCCUCAGCGCCA
rnacentral:tRNA from 1 species